GACGAACGCUGGCGGCGUGCUUAACACAUGCAAGUCGAGCGAGGCCCCUCCUUCGGGAGGGUGCCCUAGCGGCGAACGGGUGAGUAACACGUGGGCAACCUGCCCCUAGCACUGGGAUAACCCCGGGAAACCGGGGCUAAUACCGGAUACGACUUCAGAGGGCAUCCUCCGAAGUGGAAAAGGUUACUGGCUAGGGAUGGGCCCGCGGCCUAUCAGCUUGUUGGUGGGGUAAUGGCCUACCAAGGCGACGACGGGUAGCCGGCCUGAGAGGGCGACCGGCCACACUGGGACUGAGACACGGCCCAGACUCCUACGGGAGGCAGCAGUGGGGAAUAUUGCACAAUGGGCGAAAGCCUGAUGCAGCGACGCCGCGUGAGGGAUGACGGCCU
rnacentral:rRNA from 1 species